AGACCCGAAACCCGGUGAUCUAGCCAUGGGCAGGUUGAAGGUUGGGUAACACUAACUGGAGGACCGAACCGACUAAUGUUGAAAAAUUAGCGGAUGACCUGUGGCUGGGGGUGAAAGGCCAAUCAAACCGGGAGAUAGCUGGUUCUCCCCGAAAGCUAUUUAGGUAGCGCCUCGUGAAUUCAUCUCCGGGGGUAGAGCACUGUUUCGGCUAGGGGGCCAUCCCGGCUUACCAACCCGAUGCAAACUGCGAAUACCGGAGAAUGUUAUCACGGGAGACACACGGCGGGUGCUAACGUCCGUCGUGAAGAGGGAAACAACCCAGACCGCCAGCUAAGGUCCCAAAGUCAUGGUUAAGUGGGAAACGAUGUGGGAAGGCCCAGACAGCCAGGAUGUUGGCUUAGAAGCAGCCAUCAUUUAAAGAAAGCGUAAUAGCUCACUGGUCGAGUCGGCCUGCGCGGAAGAUGUAACGGGGCUAAACCAUGCACCGAAGCUGCGGCAGCGACGCUUAUGCGUUGUUGGGUAGGGGAGCGUUCUGUAAGCCUGUGAAGGUGGCCUGUGAGGGUUGCUGGAGGUAUCAGAAGUGCGAAUGCUGACAUAAGUAACGAUAAAGCGGGUGAAAAGCCCGCUCGCCGGAAGACCAAGGGUUCCUGUCCAACGUUAAUCGGGGCAGGGUGAGUCGACCCCUAAGGCGAGGCCGAAAGGCGUAGUCGAUGGGAAACGGGUUAAUAUUCCCGUACUUGGUGUUACUGCGAAGGGGGGACGGAGAAGGCUAUGUUGGCCGGGCGACGGUUGUCCCGGUUUAAGCGUGUAGGUGUGUGUUCCAGGUAAAUCCGGUUCACUUUAACACUGAGGCGUGACGACGAGGCACUACGGUGCUGAAGCAACAAAUGCCCUGCUUCCAGGAAAAGCCUCUAAGCAUCAGGUAACAUCAAAUCGUACCCCAAACCGACACAGGUGGUCAGGUAGAGAAUACCAAGGCGCUUGAGAGAACUCGGGUGAAGGAACUAGGCAAAAUGGUGCCGUAA
rnacentral:rRNA from 1 species